rnacentral:lncRNA from 1 species
GGAAAUUGAAGAGAAAUAAAUAACGGGUAGCCAUCUACAACAACACACCAGUUUAACCUGAUAUGCAAUCAUUGAAUCCAACAUGACAGGAAAAACAUCUAGUUAAUGAAGUCAUGUGGAUGAGGUUUUGGUUAACUGGUUCUGUCUCUCGAAGAUAGCUUGUCCAAGCCUGUCUGCCCAUGGAUGAUAGACCCCAUAAAAUACUGAUCAGAAUGUUGUUGAACAAAGGUGCACAGAUACUAAUAAUAGAUAAUUGACUUAAUAAUAUCUUCUCUCUCUCUUUACCUGUAAAUCAUGCCAGAGUAUGCAGUUUUAU